UUCAACAACCCCACGCUACUAACGUGGAGCGUGGGGAUUGCCAGAGACAGGACUGGCAACGUUAAGAGUUGAAUAGACCACCAAGCCGUUAACUGAUACACACUUCCAAAUACUUCCCCAGUUUGGAUUCACUGUA
rnacentral:sRNA from 21 species